UUUUCUGUUUACUCAGGGUUCCUGAUUUCAGAGCUUACAGAUGUGCCAAUUGGGAAUUUAGGGGUUUUCACACCACAGAGCAGCCACCUGAGCACGUGGAUGUGCCUGCUCCCAGCAGCUGCCUGGGCAAAGAGCACAUCAGGGAAGACAGCAAGAAAGAGAUACCUGGUGCUGAUGUAUUUGAUAGUGACUGUCACCAGCUGGAGCCUUUCUGAUCCUGGGAAUGUGCAUUCCUGGAAAGCAACUGAAGGGGAUCCUGGCUGCUGCCAUGACAUACAAAGAAGCUGUCAUCACCAGCUGUGCAGAAGACAUCUGAGAAAACCAACACUUAAGUACUAA
rnacentral:lncRNA from 1 species